rnacentral:rRNA from 1 species
AACGAACGUUGGCGGCGUGGAUUAGGCAUGCAAGUCGAACGAAUGUCAGUUUUGUAGCAAUACAGAGCUGGCGGAAGUGGCGAAAGGGGCAGUAAUGCAUGGGUAACCUACCUUGGGGAUGGGGAUAGCCGUUCUAACGAGCGGGUAAUACCCAGAGAUUCGGCGGGAGGGCAUCCUUCUACCGGGAAAUGAAUUUCGCCUCGAGAGGGGCCCAUGUGCUAUUAGCUAGUUGGUGGGUAACGGCCUACCAAGGCUAAGAUGGCUAGCGGGUGUGAGAGCACGACCCGCGCCACUGGCACUGANACACUGGCCAGACACCGUACGGGUGCUGCAGUCGAGGAUCUUCGUCAA